rnacentral:rRNA from 1 species
UACGGAGGAGGCAAGCGUUAUCCGGAAUUAUUGGGCGUAAAGCGUCCGUAGAUGGUUUUGUCAGUCUGCUGUCAAAGCACAGGGCUUAACCCUGUAAAGGCAGUGGAAACUACAAGACUAGAGUGCAGUAGGGGCAGAGGGAAUUCCCGGUGUAGCGGUGAAAUGCGUAGAGCUCGGGAAGAACAUCGGUGGCGAAAGCGCUCUACUGGACUGCAACUGACACUCAGGGACGAAAGCUAGGGGAGCGAAUGGG